rnacentral:rRNA from 1 species
UACGGAGGGGGCUAGCGUUGUUCGGAAAUACUGGGCGUAAAGCGAACGUAGGCGGCUUGGCAAGUCAGGGGUGAAAUCCCAGUGCUCAACACUGGAACUGCCUUUGAAACUGCCAGGCUUGAAUCCUGGAGAGGCGAGUGGAAUUCCGAGUGUAGAGGUGAAAUUCGUAGAUAUUCGGAAGAACACCAGUGGCGAAGGCGACUCGCUGGACAGGUAUUGACGCUGAGGUUCGAAAGCGUGGGGAGCAAACAGGAUUAGAUACCCCGGUAGUCC